CAACAGAUCACUUUGUUUCUGGUGAGGCCCACUUUUAGGUUUCGUUAGGUUGGAUGUACAACAGUUUUGUCCUAACGCAUAAUGUCUUUGCCCACAUGGCAUUGACUUUAUGGGAUCUCAACUGAAUGUCCUGGUUGAUCAUGUACUUUAAAAAUAGUAAUCAUAAUAUUCUUUCUUUAUCUGGCCCCUAUAAACUAUAAACAGUUAAAUUUUGUAUUCAUUAUGUAAACGAACUUGAAGCAUACACGAUUGUUGGUAGGGGAACAAUGCUGUUUAACUUGACCACUGCCGUUUAAUUGAUAAUAACCAUUGCAUAAGGAUAAAAUAAAUAAAUAACUCUUGACUUUAAUGAGCAUCUCAUGUGAGACUAAAACUCAGUCUGAGGGACACCUGGGUGGCUCAGUUAGUUAAGUGUCUUUUGAUUUCAGCUCAGGUUCUCAUCUCACAGUUUGUGGGAUUGAUCUCCAUGUCGGGUCGUGCACUGACAGCACAGAGUCUGCUUGAGAUUCUCUCUCUCCCUGUCUUUAUGCCCCUCCCCGACUCGUGCAGGCACUCUCUCUCUCAAAAUAAAUAUGUAAAUUUAAAAAUUUUUAAAAACUCUGAGUUCUGAAGUUAAGGCUUUAAAAUUAAAACUAAACAUAUAUUGGUUAGGAGAGUUUAGGUACGUGAAGAUAUAGAUGUCAGCAAGUCCGAGCAUUUCUUAGUUCCAUGACUGAAAACAUGUCCCUGACCUUCACUGCCAGACAGGUCCUGCAUUAUCCCCACUAUCCCCACUCGAGUCUGACACCAGUGAAAGAACAUGAGAAUGCAAAGUGGGCCCUCGCUAGGAUGGCAAUGUCUUCUAAUUCCUGGCAAUUAUCCUUGAAGUUCAAGUUAGCCAGCAAUUACUGAGUUUGGGAAACAUGGAGAAGAAUGAUACCGAUUUUUAACUUACUAGCAACUGUCUCUUUCAGUUGGGUACCAAAGCCGUGGGUGAUCAUGCGGAGCUCUCUGUACCUGUGCUGUGCUCGCUCACUCUUCUGGCUCAGCAGGAUGUAGUCAUUCAGGCUGAGGAGUGAGGAAGGGGUACAAGUUGGAACUGGUAAGUAAACACGUUAUGAUGAAUUCAGGGAGUUGAUCAACAAAUGUAUCCAUGAAAAAACUAGGAAAAGAAAUUUUGACUGCUUCUUGCUGCUUGUUACUGUGAAAAAGAUAAUCGAUUGCUUCCUGAUUCUUAGGAAAAGGAAACAAAAAUUCACUCCCUCAACGGAAGAGGAGCCCAUCGUUCUAGCCAAAUGUACCUGAUGAACGGGAACAUGAAGUCAUGGGGCAGACACACAUCAGCAUCGCUGGUCCCCUGCCUUCACACGUACCACCUAGACAACCAUCUCCUCUUCUCAGGGCCCAUCUAGGUCCUACAUCCCCAAAUAGGGAAAAGCUAAGCCUUCCCUUGGGACUGCUCAGGUGUGUGUUGGGGUGGAGGGAACCAAGCAUGAGCUGGCCACGUGGCAGCCUCCUAGGUUUCAUGUAACCAUGCCUGCCCAUCACAGACCGGGCUGAGAAUUCACAUUUAUUCCCCUGUGUUCUACUUAUUGUAUUGUAUCCCUUUCCACACACCUUUCCAAGCCCCAAGCUGGUAAACACCCUUCUUCCAAACCCACGGAAGUCUUCGACACACUUCCAGCUAUAUUUGGAGCUGUCCAGCAGGCCAAAGCAAGUUUUUGUAUAUUUUGAGAAAUUAACCUAUUGGAAUCCUCAGUCCUUGGAAUCCAGCAGGAGUCAGAGUAGCUGAUCAAAGCUUUCCAUCCAUAGAGACCUGGGGAACUGGGUCCUGCCUCAGCUAGGUCAUAAGGCCAGUGAGAAAGGACUUGUAUAAAGCAAUUGUGGCAGCCCAGGAAAAUGACUAGAAACCGCAAUCUACCCACAGGCCUCAGUGAAGCAAAGGGCAAAACUAGGUUAAAAAACAAAUCGUACGGUGCAAUCUCGCUAAAACUGCAAACUGUAUACAUGUCAUAUUCAUAUUUUUGAAAAAUAUCAGAAGGAAACAUCAGAAUUCAACAUUUUGAGCCUUUCUUUCCCCGCCUUCUAGGAAUACAGGUGAUUUUUAUUUACUUGUGUUUUGAUGCAGACCUAUUUUUCCCCACAUUUUCUCCACUAAUCAUGUACUAUUGUCGUAAUCAGAAAAAAGCUACAAUUUAAAAAAACUACAAGUGACCCACACCAGCCUAUGACUUGGAAGAGUGCUACUAAUGGAGCCAAGUGAGUCCAGUGACAACAGUCAUUCUCCAAGCCCUCCUGUGCCCUUCAAAUGGCCUCCCUGUACCCAAAAGAAUGAAGCUUUAAAAGUGUGCAUCAUCAUACACGGAGCCAUUAGACCACUGAGUCUGCCUUUGUAGAGCGUAGAAUAAGUGUUCUGAACAGGAAGGACUCAGCGGCUUUCUCUUCCCCGUAGUCCAUUCCUCACCCUCACAGAGCAGGGCACUUAUCCUUCUGACCACCUCCAUCCUCACCUGGAAAAUCAGGGAGCAGUAAGCCACACACCAAAGGCGAUAGCACAGGAAUGAGGACUUGGAGAAGUUGCUGGGCCAGACACCAGUGGGUCUGAUGCAGGACAAAGGUCAGGGACACACCGCGGAGGAGGCAGCUCUGCACCCACGGAUGGGAGCACCGUGCAUGGGGGCUCCGAUCCCAGCUCUGCAACCAUGCAGCCUGCAAUCUUUGGGCAAGUUAUUUGGUCUCCCUUGGCCUCAUGUUCCUCAUCUGUAUGGGAGUCUUCUCUUUUGUCUCCCAAGAAACCGUUGUUGAAGUUUCACAGAACAUUGGCUUCCUCCCAGAACAGGAUUAGGAAAAAAAAUGGCAACUGUGAAUCUGAACAGAAACAAUGUCCUAGCUUGGGAAACAUGGAAUGGAAAUAAAGUGUGUUUCCCUUUACUUUUGCUUAAAAUGAAAGAAAACCAAAACACCCCACCCUCACACAUACCCCAGAUACAAUUGUAUAAUCAUACAAUAAUUGUUCAGUUACUUCGAUGUUGCAAAGCAAAGCCAGAAUGCCAGAAUUUUCUAAGCAUCCAUUGUCCAAUAUGGUAGCCACUGACCACAUGUGGCUGUUGGAGGGUGGCCAGUCCCAGCUGAGAUGUGCUGUCAGCAUAAAUAAACUACACCCUGGAUUUCAAAGAUUUAGUGUGAAAAGAAGGUCACAUAUCUCAUUCAUUUUUUUCAUUGAUUAUAUGUUGGCAUGAUAAUAUUUUGUAUAUAAUGAAUCAAAAUAUAUUAUUAAAAGUAAUUUCACCUGUUAAUUUUUACCUGUAGUGUGCCUUACUAAAAAAUUUAAAAUUACUUACGUGCUUGGCAUAUUUCUUGUAGGCAGUGCUGAUCUAGGAGAAAGAUUUUCUUUCUGGGAAUAGGCUCUACCUGCCCUUUCUUCAGGUGCCUUGUGACAUGAUGACAGAACUAUGUGAAGCAUGUUGCACACAGGGAAGAUGGAAGGGCUGAAGAUAUUUAUUCCACCACCACCCCCAAGCCCUCAUUGGGUUAUCAUGGCUUUGAUGUGAGCCACUGGGUCUUUCUCCUUCUUCCCUUCCCCCCCUUCCUCUUCUUUCUUUCUCUUCCCUCUUACUUAUUGUAAAAUCAUCUAUGCCAAAGUGCCUGCCAUUCCUGAGCUCUAAUAGGAGUGAGGUGUCGGUCAGAUAAUUAGCUCCUGUUAUACUUCACUCAUCAUUAGCACCUGAUUUACUGGGAAAGCUUUACUCCAGGUAAAAUCAUUACCUGCCAGAAUGAUGUGUCUUGUAGAGACAGGCUUUGCCUGCCCAGAAUACUUCCAGAGUUCUUUAAGUAAUACUAUUUUGGUUUUUCUUUGCAAAACUGAUCAACAUCUUUGGUUGUAUCAAUCACAGUGCCCUGUACUCUUCCCCUCCCCACUGGACAUUCAGGAUAAUUCAACUCCCUUUCCCAGGACUUGAGUCUCAAGAAGAAUGACCUACCAUGGGAGUGGAGGUAGAUCUAAGCCAUUUGUAUAUCAGUCUCCACAGAGACUGACUGAUCACUCCUGUUACGGGGUUCUUAGACCUACCUUGAUACUGUGCUGAUUGAUUUUCAAUUCUUCUGUCAAUCUGAUGAGCUACCCAAUAAGACUUGAAAUAACUUCCUUUUGCAUUUAAGCUGCGCAGAAUCAUUUUCCAUUCCUUGCAGCCACAGCCCUCUAUGUUGUUAUUCUAAUUCAGCAAAACAGUGAAAUGCUGCAAAAAGUAUUUGAGAACCUUUAUCCCUGGCUGCAAAUAUUAAUAGGAUGGAAUAAAGAGGUAAAUUGGUUGAAACACAGCCAUCCGCUUUGUCUUCGUACAAAACCACCAUUGUGCUGUUCCUUGGCUGGCUCCGUUGAUCAUGAAGCUGAUUCCCACUAGUUCUUGCAGACCUCACCUUCAUGCUGGGGGCUGCUGAGCUCUGGGAAAUGGGAGUUGAAAGGAAUGAGAAGGCCUGGAUCUCCCCGAUCCUUUCACUUUUUAAACACUACUAUCGUCACUUCUGGCUCAAGCUGUCCCCUGUGAAACCAUUUUGAAGUUGGGCCGAAAGCUACACAUCUCCAAAUGUUCUUUAAAUACCUGCUAGAUUUUAACCGCUGGGGAGCAACUAUUUCCUCAUGACCUGCAUGUGCGACUUCAACUAUGUUUGUCAUUCAGGUAGAGUACUGGUGGCUUCAUCUACUUAACCAGGGUAAAGGAAUGCUUCCUUUCUUCCCAAAGUGUACCCAAUUGUCCUCUUAUUUGGGGGUUUUAAAGACUUGGUCAUGGUCUUUCCUUAAUUCUAAGUCACCCAGUGCAAAUCUCUGGAGCAUUUUAUGAUGGGAAGAGGAGAAACUUCAUGUAAGUUUUGCAGCUGUGAGCCCUGGAUUUGCCAUUACUAAAAUACCUUGCAUUUGCAAAAUAAGUUGUCAAGAAAUUGUUUCUUUGUAAACCCUAUACCUGUAUUUUCCAUUUUUGUUAGAAAGGUUGGUGCCAGCUAGGGAAGAAGGGUUUAGGGGUAAAUAUAGCUCCUUUGGUGUGUGUAACGAAGAGACUGACAUAAUGUUCUUUUACCAGAAUUGUUUAUCAGUUGCAUACUAAGUUUCAAGCACUAAACUAGGGUUUUGCAUUUAUUAUUUGACUUGUUUUUCGCAGCAACCCUAAAAGUUAGAUACCAUUAUCCCAGGUUUAAAAAACAAGAAUGCUGAAAACUAAGUAGGUGCUCUAACUACAGUCACCCAGCUAAGAAGUGGCAGGUCAAGAUUUCGAAGACCAGCAAUGUCUGACUUCAAACCAUAGUUAAUUCCAUCAGAUCUUCCUGUUUCUUUUUUUGCUUUUGUUUUAUGUUUAUUCUGAGAGGGACAGUGUGCGCUUGUGAGUGGGGGAGGGGCAGAGAAAGAGAGAGUCUCAAGCAGGCUCCGCGCUGUCAGCGCAGAGCCCGACUUGGGCUCAAACUCACGAACUGUGAGAUCAUGACCUGAGCCAAAACCAAGAGUCAGAUGUUUAACCACCUGAGCCACCCAGGCUCCCCACAUCUUCCCGUUUCUUUGCUGUUGUUUUUGCCAUUUAAUAAAAUGCAGUUUAGUUAAAAAGUAAAGCUGUUUAACCAAACAUAACUUUGUUUUUAGGUUAACCCUUAAAUAACAUGAAACAAGAGUUAAAGAGACAGACCCUUCCUCAAGGAGACGUACCCUAAAUCAACAAGUGGAAAGUCACGGACGGCUUUAUCACCUCGAAGGAUGGGCAUUUCUGGUUCCACCUACUGUUCCAGCAUCAUGCUGAGCCAACUUGUGGGCUGAGAUGAGCGCUCAGAUGAGAACUCCAAGCAGACUUCUCAACACAUGCCUGUCAAGUUUGCAACCAGUCAGAUGUGGAAUUGUGUUUUCCCAGACAGAAGUGGAAAGUUACUCCUACCUCACAGAAUUGUGUGAGUAGAACAUAAACUUUAUAAAACACGUGGCACUAAAUAGCAUUGCUACAGUACAUGUGAGUGUGUCCGGUGGAAGAAAUUGUUGCCGGCCACGGGGUCAUGGGGAUGUUGUAAAUCAUAGAUGGGAAUCAUCAUUGUUUUCUCUCUCAUAUUUAGAUCUGUAAUCUACCUGAAACUGACUUUUGCCUGUGGCAUGAGAAAGAAUUCAUAAUAACUAUUGGUUUUAAGGUCAAGACCUUUAGUAGACUCUUCUUGACCCCUGGGUCACUCUCAUGACCUUGACCCUCCAAGAUAACUGGGUUCCACUGCACUCUGUCUUCUUUCCUUCCUGCUCCCUGUUGACACAGGCCAUCUUCCUGUAUGUGCAGACAUACCGAGCUGGGGAAAAAGAAUGCUUAUCUGUCUUCCCAAGGCCUGUGUCCUUCAUAAAGGAUGGUCUUGGAGAAUCUCUAAAAGGCUAGAACAUAGGUGGAAAAUCAUGGUGGGAAGAGCCACAGUACAGCCCACCCUCCUCUUCCAAAUCUUCUGUUUGUAUAAGCUUGGCAGGAAAGGGUGAGGGAUGACACUGAGGCAGCAAAGACAGCUUGGAGACUUCUCUUGGGAUCUGGGAUCGGCCCCUAGUUGUUUGAGCUCUGAUGCCUCUUCCUUCAGCUUUGGAUCCCAUUUAGCAAUUCUUAGGCAACCAGACAAGUUCCACAUACCCACAUCUCAUCACACCACGGUGGUCUUGCCAGGGAAAGGGGACAACACAGGAGAGAACUGGGGUCCAAACAUAGUGACGCCUGUUGACACUUGCCAGUCUUACCUAAGGCUUUCCCUGUGUGUGCACACUUAGAGUCAGGAUGAGUGCUGGCGCCCUCUGCAGUGCCGAGUUCCUGGUACCAGGGAGAAUAUCAGUGAUGCAGACGGUGACAUUCGGUGUGUGCAUCUUACAAGGAGUUCUCUGUCACCUCCCAAAGUUAAAAGCAACAACAACAACAACACUGAAACAAAAGUUGCCACGGCUGAACGGCUGGUGAUAACGUUCGUUAAAAACAACUACCGCAGUCUGUAUGUUGUGGAGGAGCCACGUGGCACCUGGAAAAAUUGCAUUCUGAUAUUUUAGGGGAAAAAACAAAAGUUAAAAGCAGAAAGAAAAGAACUCUCCUAUCUCAAAAGACACAGAUUUUCCCAAUUCUGAGAAUCUGAAUCACAGCCAAUUUACAAAGUCCUUUGAAAUUAACAGGUUAUAUGAGCAGAGCUGAUACAGCCUUAUCUGAAAGUGAGCAAGAACAGCCCCCAUCAUGAUGGAAAAGCAAAGCAAAAAGCUUCUAAAGCCUGUUACGGCCUGAGCCAGAAGAAUUAAGGUCUUUGCACAAUAUUGUCCCAGAAUGUCUCAGAAUCAUAUAUUUUUGUGAGAAACUUGGAAGUCAGAUUUUCUUGUGUGGCAGAACACAUACCAUGGGGAUUUCAGAGCCGUGGAUGGCCAGGAUUUUUACUAAGCAGCAGGAAAAGUUCAGGGCUAAAACCAAGAAUAAUGAAGAUGUACAGAGAAGUAUAGGUGGGG